rnacentral:rRNA from 1 species
GUAGGUGGCAAGCGUUGUCCGGGAAUUAUUGGGGCGUAAAGCGCGCGCAGGCGGUUCUUUAAGUCUGAUGUGAAAGCCCACGGGCUCAACCGUGGAGGGUCAUUGGAAACUGGAGAACUUGAGUACAGAAGAGGAAAGCGCAAUUCCACGUGUAGCGGUGAAAUGCGUAGAGAUGUGGAGGAACACCAGUGGCGAAGGCGGCUUUCUGGUCUGUAACUGACGCUGAGGCGCGAAAGCGUGGGGAGCAAACAGGAUUAGAUACCCUGGUAGUCCACGCCGUAAACGAUGAGUGCUAAGUGUUAGGGGGUUUCCGCCCCUUAGUGCUGCAGCUAACGCAUUAAGCACUCCGCCUGGGGAGUACGGCCGCAAAGGCUG